rnacentral:misc_RNA from 1 species
CUGAUUUGCUUAAUUGCACCACAUGUGUUUUUCUUUGAAACAAACUUGCUUUGGCGGUGGGCCCAGCCUGCCGCCAGAGGUCUAAACUUACAACCAAUUUUUUAUUAACUUGUCACACCAGAUUAUUACUAAAUAGUCAAAACUUUCAACAACGGAUCUCUUGGUUCUCGCAUCGAUGAAGAACGCAGCGAAAUGCGAUACGUAAUAUGAAUUGCAGAUAUUCGUGAAUCAUCGAAUCUUUGAACGCACAUUGCGCCCUCUGGUAUUCCGGAGGGCAUGCCUGUUUGAGCGUCGUUUCUCCCUCAAACCGCUGGGUUUGGUGUUGAGCAAUACGACUUGGGUUUGCUUGAAAGACGGUAGUGGUAAGGCGGGAUCGCUUUGACAAUGGCUUAGGUCUAACCAAAAACAUUGCUUGCGGCGGUAACGUCUACCACGUAUAUCUUCAAACUUUGACCUCAAAUCAGGU